UAUUCCUACGGGGGGCAGCAGUGAGGAAUAUUGGUCAAUGGGCGGAAGCCUGAACCAGCCAAGUCGCGUGAGGGAAGAAGGCCCUGCGGGUCGCAGACCUCUUUGGACGGGGAGCAAGGCCGCCGACGUGUCGGCGGAAGGAGAGUACCCGUAGAACAAGCAUCGGCUAACUCCGUGCCAGCAGCCGCGGUAAUACGGAGGAUGCGAGCGUUAUCCGGAAUUAUUGGGCGUAAAGAGGGAGCAGGCGGCAGCAAAGGUCUGUGGUGAAAGACUGAAGCUUAACUUCAGUAAGCCAUAGAAACCGG
rnacentral:rRNA from 1 species